rnacentral:pre_miRNA from 1 species
ACUGGGGGGGGGGUCCCUCAGCCUGGAUUUCGAGAGGGCGCAGGCCAGGCCGAGGGACCCCACUGGUGCACA